AGCAGCCGCGGUAAUUCCAGCUCCAAUAGCGUAUAUUAAAGUUGCUGCAGUUAAAAAGCUCGUAGUUGAAUUUCGGGACUAAUAUGUCGGUCGUGCCUCGGUACGUACUGGCUUAUUGGUUUCUCCUUUCUGAAGAACCAUGAUGUCAUUUAUUUGGUGUCGUGGGGAAUCAGGACUGUUACUUUGAAAAAUUAGAGUGUUUAAAGCAGGCUUACGCUUGAAUACAUUAGCAUGGAAUAAUGAAAUAGGACGUUUGAUUCUAUUUUGUUGGUUUCUAGGAUCGACGUAAUGAUUAAUAGGGAUAGUUGGGGGCAUUAGUAUUCAAUUGUCAGAGGUGAAAUUCUUGGAUUUAUUGAAGACUAACUACUGCGAAAGCAUUUGCCAAGGAUGUUUUCAUUAAUCAAGAACGAAAGUUAGGGGAUCGAAGACGAUCAGAUACCGUCGUAGUCUUAACCAUAAACUAUGCCGACUAGGGAUCGGAUGAUGUUAAUUUUUUAAUGUACUCAUUCGGCGCCUUAAC
rnacentral:misc_RNA from 1 species